GUUUUGUUGGUUUUUUGUUUUGUUUUGUUUUUGCAUAGUUUUCACUAUUAAACAAACUUUGAGCAAAGUAUUUUGUUUGCACAUAUGUUUCCAUUACUGAAAUUUUGUUCAUUAUCACUAUGCAAUAAUACCAUUUGUUAAUGCAUGAAGUAUCGUGAAAUAAAAAUUAAUAACAUUGUUAACAGCAUUUAUUAGUGAUGAAUGUUAAAGUUUAUUUAUAAAUAAAAAAAUGUUUUUUUCAUUGCUAAUUCAUGCUUGGUCAAAUUAUGUGAACUAAUGUGAUUUUAUAAUUUGAAGAUGUGGUAUUAUAUGUAGAAAUUAAAAUGAACCUAGAUUAAUAAAUGCUGUGAAAGUAUUUCCUUGUUAAGUUAUUGAUACCGAAUGCGUUAACUAAUGUUAACAAAGCAUUCCUUGAAAAAAUACAUAAAAGUUACACAAAACAGAAAUAUUUAUGUAUUUUGAGGUUUUUCAUACAUGCUGACAAAGUGUUUGUUUGUGCAGAAGAUUUUUAUCUGAAAUAUCAUCCAUAUUUUAAUAAAUAAUCCAGUACAGGGUCAGUUUUUGAGUACUAUCAGCUCCAAUAGGAAUAUGACACAAGAGUGUUACCACUUUACUGAAUUGCACAGCUGCAUUUCAACUGCAGGUGUCAGACCAAGAGCAUGAUUUUGAUGGUGAUAUUUUUAAUUCAACAGUCCAAAAAAAUAAGAGGUCAUUAUGAAGUAAAUUGUGUUUCUGACCAAAUUUUGUUCUUUGUGCUUUGCAUGCCACCAAGCACAACUGGGAAUAACUGGAGCAAAACGUUGCUGUGCUUUUACGCUGAAUAUCAACACUUUUGUAAAAUAAGUGUUGUAAAGGACUGUGAUAACAAACAAUGGACAGUGAAUGCUAUUGGUGGGCUUUUUAAUUGACAGUUGAAACUACGAAUCAGUACAGCUUUAGCGUCAUCGGAAAGUAGUUCCGCCAAAGGAUAUAGAAGUGUGUUGCAUCAGAAAGUUUAGUGCGGAGCUAAUGAGUGUUCUCCAAAAGUUUAUUUCAAGUGUGUGCGUGCAGCUAGAAAACCACACAUACCCAUCUACAGUGGAGAAUAAAAAUUAAAGAAGAAACAUCAGAGUCAUUGCAUUCUAACCGAAUGUGCCAUAGUGAUUGCAAACCUUUACUAACCAGCCCCAAAUAAAUACCUCAAAACAUAUGGUCCUUCGAGCCGGAUUGCAAUUGCUGUGGAAUUGGUAAAAAUGUCUUCUGACCAAAGGAGUAGAGAAGGAAGGCCUGCUGAUGUGCGUCCUAAACGACAAGUGCGACCACCAGCCUGGUUGAAAGAUUAUGAUGUUUCUCUCCCGCACUAUAAUGAAUCUUCACCUGUUGUUCAAACUACACCUUUCACCACAGAGGAACAGGAGCCUUAUCGUAUUGAGAGGGUAGCCGAGAUGACCCCCCUCACUCAUCACACACUUCGACACUUCGACACUUCGACACUUCUACUGGACUCAGGCAGAGGCCGUUUACCCAUUCUGGCCAGGUGGAACAGAUGUAUAAGAGCACACCUGUACCUCACCACAGUGUAUCAGGGGAUGUAUCCUCAGAGAUAUUGGAGGCUAUUCAACAGCUCAAGAUGGAGAAUCAGAAACUACAGUCUACAGUUUUAGACAUGCAACAAGAUAUGAGAGGUGAUACUGUGGUUCCAUUGCACCAUAGGUCAGUGCCACCAUCACACGAUAAAGCCCCUUCGCAACCAUGGCGGCUACCUCGUGCCAACCUGCCAUACUCAGAGCAGCCAACUGAUAGUUAUAAAAUUCCGCCUCACAGUAAAUCGACAUGGGAUGUUAGUAGAGCCCCUAUACCAGACAAGGAGGAGGAUUGGCCACCCCCACCUCCACCAGUAGCUGAUGAUGUCCCACUUCCUCGAACUCCAGUGAAUAAACCACUACCUCCACCUCCAACAGCAGCCAUCCCAGACUUAGUGGAGGAAUUAACAGCAUGUUUGCGUAGACUAGGCAGGACAUCACACCCACCUUCGUGUCCAGCGACGCCUGAGUACUUUGAACCAGAUGAUGGUUCUUCAGUGGCAUCUGAUGUGCAGAGGUCACAUGACAUUGAUAGACAAUCCAAGUAUCCCCCCAUACCUCCUCAUGUCAGUAUGCAGUAUCACAAGGAGACUGCUGAGGACUUCCACAACCCUCAGCGAGAGAAAUUAUAUCGAGGUCCUAAGCCCACAAUUCCAGAUUUCACCAAAGGGGACCCACGAGAGUUUGCAAGAUUGAAGAUCUCCCUGGAUAAUAUUCUGCCUGAAGAUGCCACAGAGAGAUUUAAAUAUCAGAUCCUCUUAGAUCAUCUCAAAUUCGAGGAUGCCCUUCUGAUAGCAGACUCUUACACAAAUUCAAAGAGACCUUAUUCAGACACCAUGGCUUCCCUGGCAGAACAGUAUGGACAGCCCCACCAGUUAGCUCUACGCCAUAUUGCUGACCUCAUGGAAGGCUCAAGUAUCCGCAGUCAUGAUACAACUGGAUUUAAGAAGUUCGCACUUAAGGUCAGAGCUCUCGUGGGCAUGCUAGAUCAACUUGGUCAAAGUGGAAAUGUUGAACUCCAGUGUGGCUCACAUGUUACUAGGUUACUAUCCAAGUUACCUCAGGACCUGCGAGCUGAUUUCAAGAGGUACAUGUAUCCCCUGGGAGUCCGCAUCCCCACACUUCUGAACUUUGCAGAGUGGCUGGAAUACGAACUGACAAUUCAAGAAAGUGGUUUUGAGUUUAUUGGAGAAAGAAGGGAACGCCUUGAUCAAAGGAUGGACAGACGUAAGGACGUCAAGUCUAGUAAGACAUUUUCCAUAUUUCACAGCUCGGGCCCUUCCACCACCAAUCCACCUACAGAAGGGUCUGGUCCAAGUGCUUCUAGACCUCAAGACAAGGUAAAGGCAUACUGUCCCUAUUGCUCCAACACCCAACAUUACUUGAAUCAGUGCCAGAACUUUAGUCAGCUUACUAAAGAACAGAAGUGUUACUGGGUAAAAACAAAUAAAAAAUGUUGGCGUUGUGGUCGCACCCACCAAGCAGCACAGUGUCGUCUGAAAACAAUCUGCAAAAUCUGUAAUGGCAGGCAUCUUGAGGCACUCCACGAGCUCAAUGAUAGACCAAUUAGAGAAACCCCUCCUCUUUCGAAUCCCACCAGUGAGGUUCUCUACUUGGAUAGGCAAGCAGGCUGCAGUAAGGUACUGCUGAAAGUCAUCAAAGUGAUUUUACGUAAUGGAAAGCAUGUGCUAGAGACCUUCGCCAUUCUAGAUGAUGGCUCAGAGAGAACAAUUCUCCUUCAGGCUGCUGCUCAGAAACUGAAUCUUCACGGGAAGACAGAGAAUCUGGUACUGAGAACAGUUCGACAGGACAUGAAGGUCAUACAAGGUAAUACAGUUUCCUUCUCAAUAUCUCCUGCUUGUCAGCCUCAGAAGGUCUUUAAGAUCAACAGAGCUUUCACAGCAGAUCAGCUAGGAUUGGCAGAACAUACUUACCCUAUUAAAGUUCUACAAAGCAAGUACAGCCAUCUCAGAGGGCUGCCCAUUCCUGCCCUUGACAAAGCUCAUCCACUCUUGCUAAUUGGCUCUGACUAUCCUCAUUUAAUCACGCCAAUUGCGCCAGUGCUCUUGGGUCCUUCGGGUGGACCAGCAGCAGUGAGAACGAGGUUGGGUUGGACAAUCCAGGGUCCUGCCAAGCUUGUCCAUUAUCAGCUUCAGACUCAACAGUGCCUGAACAUUUCCAUUAUGUCUCCCUCCAAUGAACUGUUCAAAAAUGUGCAGCAACUUUGGCAACUGGAUGUAUUGCCUUACAGGAAUGAGAAGCUUAUUACUAGAUCUAAGCAAGAUCAGGAUGCAGUUAACCUGUUAGAGGCAAAGUCCAAACGGAUUGACAUCAAUGGGAUCCAGCGCUAUGCCACUCCUCUUCUCAGGGUAAAGCACAUGCCAAAACUACAAGCCACAAAGGAAGCGGUAAUGGCCAACCUCCGCAGCACAGAGAAUCGCUUGAUGAGAGACCCUCAAAAGGCAGAAGCUUAUAAUGACGAAAUUAGGAAGCUAGAACAAGCUGGCUAUGCAGUCAAAGUACAAGAGCAGAUACUGAGUGAGACUGAUGAAUCUUGGUUCAUCCCCCAUCAUAUGGUGAGUCACAACGGGAAGAACAGAGUUGUCUUUAACUGCUCAUUCUCCUACAAAGGACAAAACCUAAAUGAUCUACUCCUGCCUGGACCCAAUUUGGGGUCUUCUUUACUUGGUGUACUGCUGAGAUUCAGGGAGCACUCUGUCGCUAUCAGUAGCGACAUAAAGGGCAUGUUUCACCAAGUGAGAUUGCUGACAGAAGACAAGCCACUCCUCCGUUUCUUAUGGCGCAAUUUAGACCGAGAGAAACAACCCGAUAUCUAUGAGUGGCAAGUGCUCCCAUUCGGGACAACAUGUAGUCCGUGCUGUGCUACAUACGCUUUGCAGAGGCAUGUAUUCGACCACAGUCAACCAGGAGACCAGGUACGAGACUCUAUUGAAAGAUCCUUCUAUGUAGACAACUGUCUACAGAGCCUUUCUUCGUUGGAUGAAGCCAAAUUGCUUGUGGAUUCAUUAAGAGACCUGUUAGCUACAGGUGGAUUCGAAUUACGUCAAUGGGCAAGCAACAUUCCUGAGGUCAUUUGUCAUUUACCAAAGGAAGCCAGGUCAGAGAGCAGUGAGCUUUGGCUCAAUCAGACUGGGGAAGAUCCUCAAGAAUUUGCACUAGGGCUACGUUGGCUGUGCAAUUCAGACACUCUAAAGUAUAAGUGCCGUCUGCUAGACUGCCCGAAACCAACAAUGAGGAACAUAUACAAAGUGGUAGCAAGUCAAUAUGAUCCUCUCGGGUUCAUUGUUCCCUACACAACUAGGGCCAAAAUCCUCAUUCAGCAUCUUUGGGCAAAACACAGAGAAUGGGAUGAUCCGGUACUGCCAGAAGAUCUCCUUCGAACUUGGCACUCUUGGCAGGGGGAAUUGCAACACCUGUCCCAGAUCAACUUAACCCGCUGCUAUGCAAGUCCAAAGAUGGAUGUUCCUGACUGCACUCGACAAAUCCAUGUGUUCUGCGAUGCCUCGGAAAAGGCUUAUGGUUCUGUUGCAUAUCUACGAACAGAAAACCCAGAGGGAGGUGCUGAAGUGUCAUUUCUCUCUGCUAGAUCAAGAGUGGCUCCUAAGCGACAGCUAUCCAUGCCUAGGUUAGAACUGUGUGCGGCCCUUACAGGUGCACAGUUAGCUUCUCUUGUUAAUAGAGAGCUUACAUUAGACAUUUGUUCCUGUUUCCUCUGGACUGACUCCACCACAGUCCUAACAUGGCUACAGUCUGACUCCUGUCGCUUUAAGGUUUUUGUGGGCACACGAGUUUCUGAGAUUCAGGAACUAACCAGUGAUUACACCUGGCGUUAUGUUGAUUCUACUAAUAAUCCAGCAGACGACAUCACCCGUGGAAAAACUUUGGUAGAAUUAGCAACAGAUAAUCGGUGGAGACAAGGACCAACAUUCCUCUGGCAGCCACAGGACCACUGGCCCAUUACCCCAGGCCAAGGUAACAUUGAUAGUUGUGAACUGAGGAAAUCUAUCUGCUGCAAUCAUGUAAGUGUCGCUGAAGAUCACUCAUUCCCAGAUCCAAAUCAGUACAACAGUUUUAAAGAUUUAAUUGAAGCAGCUGUACUCUUACGCCAUGGGGUGGCUGGGAAACAGGGAAACCCAACAGCUGAUGACUACAAGUUGGCAGAAACAGAUCUCCUAAGAAAAUCUCAACAAGAUAGCUUCCCUGAAGACUUUGACUGUCUAGCAAUGGGCAGACCAGUACAAUCAUCUAGCCGUUUGAUCACCCUUGCACCUGAAUAUGACCCUGUAUUCCAACUUAUCCGAGUCGGAGGUCGACUCCGCCGCAGUGAACUGCUAGAUCCAGAUACUAUCCACCCAGUGGUUCUAGACCCAGCUCACAAAGUAACACAACUCCUCAUUCAGGAUAUGGACAACCAACUCUGUCACCCAGGUUCUGAACGAGUUUUUGCAGAGCUUCGCCGUCAAUUCUGGAUUCUUCGAGGUAGAGCAGCUGUUAAAAAACAACAACACUCUUGCUUUGAUUGCCAAAAAUGGAGAGCCAAGCCAGUUGUGCCCCUAAUGGCAGACCUACCCCAAGCUAGGCUGCAACUGUUUAAGCCUGCCUUCUUUUCUACUGGUAUGGACUGUUUUGGGCCCUUUACAGUGAAAGUAGGAAGACGCAAUGAAAAGCGUUGGGGCAUCCUUUUCAAGUGCCUCACCACUCGUGCCAUCCACAUAGACCUUCUACACAGUCUUGAUACGGACUCCUUUCUGAUGGCACUGCGUCGUUUUAUCUCUCGUAGAGGUAAGCCUUCUGAGCUACUUUCAGAUCAAGGCACUAAUUUCAAAGGUGGGGACAGAGAACUCCAGGAAGCCUUUAAAGCUUUGAAUCCUUUGUUGCAAGCACAACUGGCAAAAGAACAAAUUCAGUUUAAAUUCAACCCCCCCAGUAGUCCACACUUCGGAGGAGCUUGGGAACGAGAAAUAAGAUCCAUCAAGUCUGCACUAUAUGCCACUUUGCAAAGUCAAAGCAUGACCGAGGAGGUAUUAAGGACAGUGCUGAUAGAAGUGGAAGGAAUCUUAAACUCCAAACCUCUGGGUUAUGCAUCAUCUGAUGUUGCAGACCCCAAUCCCGUCACACCCAAUCUUCUCCUCAUGGGGCGGCUCGAUCCAUCGCUCCCCCAGGCUGUCUACCAUGAAUCAGAACUUUUAAGUCGUCGCAGAUGGAGGCACACACAAGUCCUUGCGGAUCACUUUUGGAGACAAUUCAUCAAGUAUUACCUUCCUAACCUACAGACCCGUUCCAAGUGGCAAAAGGACACUGAUAAUUUACAGCCUGGCAUGAUCGUGAUGAUCCUAGACCCUCAAAUACCCAGAGCUGUCUGGCCAGUAGGACAGAUCAUCAAUGUCUUUCCUGGAGCUGACGGACGGAUUAGGACAGCAGAGGUGAAAAUAAAAGACAAAGUAUACACCAGACCAGUAGCUCGUCUUAUUAAAUUACCAUCCAUCCAUAACACUGAUAAAGCGGAGAAAAGUCCUUCUACAUAAAGACGAAUUUGACUGUGCAAAUUCGGGGGCGGCUGUUGUAAAGGACUGUGAUAACAAACAAUGGACAGUGAAUGCUAUUGGUGGGCUUUUUAAUUGACAGUUGAAACUACGAAUCAGUACAGCUUUAGCGUCAUCGGAAAGUAGUUCCGCCAAAGGAUAUAGAAGUGUGUUGCAUCAGAAAGUUUAGUGCGGAGCUAAUGAGUGUUCUCCAAAAGUUUAUUUCAAGUGUGUGCGUGCAGCUAGAAAACCACACAUACCCAUCUACAGUGGAGAAUAAAAAUUAAAGAAGAAACAUCAGAGUCAUUGCAUUCUAACCGAAUGUGCCAUAGUGAUUGCAAACCUUUACUAACCAGCCCCAAAUAAAUACCUCAAAACAAUAAGUUUAUACACAAUAAAAUAAUAAUUAUCAUUUUUCUG